GACUCCCGAUGUGGUGGGCAGGGCUGAACCCUGUGGUUUCUGAGGUGCCUGCCAGCCAGAGACUGUCAGCUGAGGCUGUCCAUUGAUGCCCAGGACCGAGUUCUGCUGCUUCACAUUAUAGAAGGUAAAGGCCUGAUCAGCAAACAGCCUGGCACCUGUGAUCCGUAUGUGAAGAUUUCUUUGAUCCCUGAAGAUAAUAGACUACGCCACCAGAAGACGCAGACCGUUCCAGACUGCAGAGACCCGGCUUUCCACGAGCACUUCUUCUUUCCUGUCCAAGAGGAGGAUGAUCAGAAGCGUCUCUUGGUUACUGUGUGGAACAGGGCCAGCCAGUCCAGACAGAGUGGACUCAUUGGCUGCAUGAGCUUUGGGGUGAAGUCUCUCCUGACUC
rnacentral:sRNA from 1 species